AUACAUGCAAGUCGAGCGGACCGACGGGAGCUUGCUCCCUUAGGUCAGCGGCGGACGGGUGAGUAACACGUGGGUAACCUGCCUGUAAGACUGGGAUAACUCCGGGAAACCGGGGCUAAUACCGGAUGCUUGAUUGAACCGCAUGGUUCAAUCAUAAAAGGUGGCUUUUAGCUACCACUUACAGAUGGACCCGCGGCGCAUUAGCUAGUUGGUGAGGUAACGGCUCACCAAGGCGACGAUGCGUAGCCGACCUGAGAGGGUGAUCGGCCACACUGGGACUGAGACACGGCCCAGACUCCUACGGGAGGCAGCAGUAGGGAAUCUUCCGCAAUGGACGAAAGUCUGACGGAGCAACGCCGCGUGAGUGAUGAAGGUUUUCGGAUCGUAAAACUCUGUUGUUAGGGAAGAACAAGUACCGUUCGAAUAGGGCGGUACCUUGACGGUACCUAACCAGAAAGCCACGGCUAACUACGUGCCAGCAGCCGCGGUAAUACGUAGGUGGCAAGCGUUGUCCGGAAUUAUUGGGCGUAAAGCGCGCGCAGGCGGUUUCUUAAGUCUGAUGUGAAAGCCCCCGGCUCAACCGGGGAGGGUCAUUGGAAACUGGGGAACUUGAGUGCAGAAAAGGAGAGUGGAAUUCCACGUGUAGCGGUGAAAUGCGUAGAGAUGUGGAGGAACACCAGUGGCGAAGGCGACUCUCUGGUCUGUAACUGACGCUGAGGCGCGAAAGCGUGGGGAGCGAACAGGAUUAGAUACCCUGGUAGUCCACGCCGUAAACGAUGAGUGCUAAGUGUUAGAGGGUUUCCGCCCUUUAGUGCUGCAGCAAACGCAUUAAGCACUCCGCCUGGGGAGUACGGUCGCAAGACUGAAACUCAAAGGAAUUGACGGGGGCCCGCACAAGCGGUGGAGCAUGUGGUUUAAUUCGAAGCAACGCGAAGAACCUUACCAGGUCUUGACAUCCUCUGACAACCCUAGAGAUAGGGCUUCCCCUUCGGGGGCAGAGUGACAGGUGGUGCAUGGUUGUCGUCAGCUCGUGUCGUGAGAUGUUGGGUUAAGUCCCGCAACGAGCGCAACCCUUGAUCUUAGUUGCCAGCAUUCAGUUGGGCACUCUAAGGUGACUGCCGGUGACAAACCGGAGGAAGGUGGGGAUGACGUCAAAUCAUCAUGCCCCUUAUGACCUGGGCUACACACGUGCUACAAUGGGCAGAACAAAGGGCAGCGAACCCGCGAGGCUAAGCCAAUCCCACAAAUCUGUUCUCAGUUCGGAUCGCAGUUUGCAACUCCACGGCUGGAAACUGAAACCCUUAAUUCCGGAAAAAAGGCCGCCGGGAAAAAUUUCCCGGC
rnacentral:rRNA from 1 species